AGGGACGCCCCCACAGGUAGACGAAGAGGGUCCAGAGAAAGGUGGGGAUUCCCUAACCCCUUCUUUCUUGGCACAGACAGGCAGAGAACACCUCUUUUCUCACCCCUGGGCAGCCCCAGGAAGUCAAUCCUUCCACUAUUCCUGCUCCGUGCCUCUCUUCCCUCUGCCCAGAUUCCUGGGAGACUCAAAACCCUGUUCAACUCUCUCUGGGCUAGCUGCUCCCCUCCCCAAGAGGAUUUCUCUCCAGAGCUGGUAUCAUCGCUUAAUGAUGUUCCACCAACAAGGGGAAGGUUUCUUUUCUGGGAGCUGCUAUCACUGAAUACAUAAAGAAAUUGAGCCUAUAUGAUUUCAAUCUUCACCUUCUGAUGCUGAUGAAACAGGAUUCUAUGCAGUUUUCCACAGGGAGAAGCAGCAGGCUGAAGUGGCUCUUUAGGGAGACACAUACCUCCACAGGAAGAGCAGUCUAGAUUGUUUUAGCACAUUCCACUUAAGGAUUGCAGUGUGACAGCAGAGAAAAUCCUCUCCAGUCAAGUAAUUGCAUCCAUUUCAUCUUCCCAGCCCUCCUCUAGAUGGGAGGUGGAGGUGUGUGUACCAAUCUCUUAAUUCAGAAAUGAGACAAGAGGAGGAAAAAGGAGUUCCGGAGACUUUGAGUAAAGCUGAUCACCUUACGUAAUGUGAGUGGGUCUCGUCCAAUCAACUGAAGGCUUUAAGAGCAAAGACAAAGGUUUUUCAAAGAGAAAAAGAAGACUCUCCUCAAGACUGUGACAUAGAAACUCUGCCUGAAUUUCUAGCCUGCUGCCCUGCAGAAUUUAGAGUCAAGCCUACAACAUAACUCUUACCUGAAUUCUCAGGCUGCUGACUUACCCUGCAGAUUUUGGACUUGCCAGCCCCUCACAAUCCCAUGAGCCAAUUCCUUAAAAUAAAUCUCUCUUUUUCCCUCUGUAUAUAUUUAUGUCCUAUUGAUUUUGGUUCUCUGGAGAGCCCUGACUACUACACUGAGUGAAGGGAGGGCUUUGCUAAGUGAUCAUGGUCCCAAGGGCAGCCUCUGAGAGCCCGCUCCUUUUGCAGGAUAUUUGAAGACCAGACCUUGAGUCAAAUUCUGCAGCCAAAUUCAAUGCCCAUAAGACUUUCUGCUCAGAAGACGUCAUGCAAAGGGAAUCCCCAGGGCUCUUUAAAUUAGAUCUUCUGUUUGUGCAGACACGUGAUAAAUGUUUUGGGUACAGCCUGGCUCACACCACAUUUUCCACUUUUUGGGUGGAGUCAGUUUUAAUUGACAAGAAGUGCCUUUACAGGUGGACUUUUUUUUUGGUGGUGGAGGGGAGUAGUUAAAACCGAUGCUUUGCAUUCUGUUGGGCAGCAGAAAGAUUGCUUUUUCAAUAAGCAAGCCUUGGGUUUUUCUGAGCCAGUGGUAUGAGAAAUGCCUCUCCUGAAGGCCACCACGCAAGCGAGUCCCCACAGAAGCAUGCCCGAGCUGUCAGGUGCAGGGAGAAAUAUCUUUAGUAAGAGCCGGUCAUGUAAUGAGACUUCCCCACCACAGCAUAGAUGGGCAGAGGGGUUUCCACAAGGACAAUUCUUAAGAAUCUCUGUAAAAACGCAUGACUCCAUCUGUCUCCUCUCUCUUCUUUGGCUUCAGAUGAGCUGAGCCAUUUAAAAAUUCCCCAACAAGGGACCCCAGGCACCAGAAGAAGUGAUGAACAGAUUUUCAAUUUGGCCCUGAUUUGCAUAAAUUUUUUUUUUCUGGCAGUUGAAAUCAUUGAGACUAGAGGCCGGAGAUGGGUAGUAGUGGGUUUUCCCCAUCUGAAGCGGAUUCUUGAUUGGUCUGGAAAGACUGCUGGAGCUCCUGGGUGCAAGGCUCUGACCAGCAGAGCUGGUCAGCAGAGCUGACUGCUCUGGGUGCAGCUUCUCCAGAGAAGGAAGAGAUGGCAAAGAGGAAGGCCUGGGGUUCAGAGAAGGACUUUGCAACCCCAAUGGGGAGUCAGAUCCUCAGGUCUCCUCCUAGAGCGGCUGCCUGGUAACUUUCCCAGUGUCCUUCAGGGAGCAUCUCCUCGUCCGUGUGGCUGGUUUCUUCUGAUAGGAGGCUACCUUGUAAUUUCUCACUGACAGGACAGUGGGGACCCCAGCCAGAGCCUGGGGACUUGGCUGCCUUGGAACCAGAACCUGGCCCCUCAGAGGAGUUGCAGAAUUUCGAUAGAGGAGUGGCAGGAGGUGUACUGGCUGAAGAGGAGGCCCAAGGAACUCCUUUUCAUACAUCAAAACUGAGCUUAUCACCUCUACCCUGAAGUCAUCCUGGACAUCACUGGUCCCAGUUAAUCACUCACUUAUCUUUGCCAUCCUUGACCUGGUGAGUACAGUCUUUAUACCAUUUAUCAAUUAGUUAUAAUAUAUUUAUCAAUUUGUUAUAAUUGGAGAGUUGUAAAGGAUAUUAACCAGGCCCAGUUCAGGCAGUUUACAGGUGUGUGGGCACCCCGUCUGCUAUAGAUCUUUUGGUCCUAGAUUUCUAUAGCACAACGCUUAUCACUUAUUAAGUACUAAAGUUUCUGAUUUUUAUAAACGGAACUGAAAUGAAUCCCAAUUACUGACCUGUGGGACUCCCAGCCCUUUGACAUCUUGGUCCUGCCCAAAGUCAGGAGUACAUUUCCAGAGGGCUCUGCAGUGGGAAAUAGUGGUGGGAGUCUGUGUGUAUUCAGCUCGAUGCAUGCCCUAUGUUAGGUGUUUUCCCUUUUGCAGGCUGGAGUGAGCCCUUGAGCUGACCCAGAAGUUCUGAGCAUUUAUCACCCAGUAUUGAUGACCAUGUAUUUUGCCUCCUCUCUUUAUGCCUAAAGAUGAAGGAAGAAAUACAAGCUCAUGUUACAAAGAGUAUUUCCUGGGUUUAUCAGCUCUCCCCCUCUCAGCUUGAGCUCUGAAUGAUUUCUUAGUUCUCAGCUUUUCUUCCUCUGAUCAAAGUGCCUGAGGCAGUGAGCACUGGGAGGGCAGGAGCAUUUCUGGCUGAGCCCAAUGCUCACCUCUUCUGGGCCGUUUUAGGAAGCUGUGGCCCAGUGUUCUCUGGUCAGACAAGCAUGGCCUGGCUGUGGAAGGGUCUCCAAAGGCUCAUGGGUCCCAGGUGCCCUGGAUUUUGAAGGCAGCUGCCCUGCCUCCACUGGGAGAAGAUUAAAGCCCCCUUUGCCUUUCUUCGUCCCUCCCUUUCCCACUCUGUUCACUCAAUCACUCUUUUCUCUCCAAUGAAUUAAAUGCAGAAAAUCCAUGAGCAGGAUUUCUCUCUUCAAAGGACCAAAUAACCUUCUUUCUAUUCCCCCUAAAUUUUUUUCCAAACUGCAAAAAGAAAACAUGCAAACAGACUUCAAGUUAAAGGUGAGAGAAAGAAAGAAAAAUUGAAGCAAAGUAAUUUUAACUUGAGAAGUAGAGCAGUUUAAACCCAGAAAAAAAAUGUACACUCCGCAAUAUAGUCCUUUCCUACAAAUUAAUUAACCCAAAGUACUUGUUUAAUUAGUGUGAGGGGUAGGGAAUUGAGUAGCUAACAAUAUCUCUCACCCAGUUUAGAAUUAUGUUCACAAAAGAAUUUCUUCUUCUUUUCCUGAAAGGGAAGAGAACGUUGCCCUCAUUGGUCUGGAAUCAGCAGGUACCUCAUGGCUGGAGGUGUAUUUUCAGGUGGGUUGGGACUUUGAAGAGGUGGCUUUUCCUAUGGACCCCUCUGACUCCCCACCUGUGGGCAUGACACAGGUGACCUGGCUGCCAGGGCAGAGGCUGCUUAGCCCUGCUCCAGAGAAACAGAGCUCUGAGGGCUUCCAGAAACCAGGGCUCCUGGCUCCUCAGUCCUUCCCACUCCUCUCUUCCUACUCCCGUGCUGCAUAUAAACUUUUCUUUUUUUUUCAGAUGGAGUCUCACUCUGUCACUCAGGCUGGAGUGCAGUGGUGCGAUCUCAGCUUACUGCAACCUCCGCCUCCCGGGUUCAAGUGAUUCUCCUGCCUCAGCUUCCCCAGUAGCAGGGACUACAGGACCACAGGUGUAUGCCAUUAUGCUCGGCUAAUUUUUGUAUUUUUAGUAGAGACAGGGUCUCACCAUGUUGGCCAGGCUGGUCUCGAGCUCCUGACCUCAGGUGAUCACACGCCUUGGCCUCCCAAAAUGCUGGGAUUACAGGCAUGAGCCACUGCACUUGGCCUGCAUAUAAACUUUUUGAGUUUCCUGCUUUUGACAUGAGCAUGGAUAUUUAUCACUUCUAGAGGCAUUAGGAGAACUCAAGUCCAAGUGCUCAGAGACCUACAGUGCAGCUUAAGACCCUGUCACAGGAAUCUUCGGGGUGGGGGCAUGCACGGGAGUUAUAGAGAGUUGGGGAAGGAUGAGUUCUCAACCAAUGCUUUCCUUUUUUCCACAGACUCCUUUGGCAUCUGGUGAGGCCUGUGGAUUCAUUCUCAGAAUCACAUUUUUAAAUGCACAUAAUAAAAUACAUAGAAUUGCAAAGGAAGUUAAUUAUAUUGAAAUACAGUUAUCAAAAAUAUAAAUAAAACAAGUAUGUGGUACAGUCAUAUGUGUGCUUCUUUAUUAAGUCAUUACAAAGCAAGAUCUAUUUGGAGGUCUAAUAACUGUCAUAUGCUUGAAAAAAUCCUUAACAAUCAUAAUAUAUUAAAAAAUCUGAUUUCUACUUUGGCAAAUCAUAGAUAUUGCUGAAACUGUGGUUUAUUGCCUGCAUUCAUAAUUGAAGGAAAUGCUAGAGUUCAGUGAGAAGGUUGUGAAAAUAAAGAGAGCCUUUUUUUCUCAUCAAG
rnacentral:lncRNA from 1 species